rnacentral:rRNA from 1 species
GAUGAACGCUGGCGGCGUGCCUAAUACAUGCAAGUCGAGCGAACGGACGAGAAGCUUGCUUCUCUGAUGUUAGCGGCGGACGGGUGAGUAACACGUGGAUAACCUACCUAUAAGACUGGGAUAACUUCGGGAAACCGGAGCUAAUACCGGAUAAUAUUUUGAACCGCAUGGUUCAAAAGUGAAAGACGGUCUUGCUGUCACUUAUAGAUGGAUCCGCGCUGCAUUAGCUAGUUGGUAAGGUAAGGGCUUACCAAGGCAACGAUGCAUAGCCGACCUGAGAGGGUGAUCGGCCACACUGGAACUGAGACACGGUCCAGACUCCUACGGGAGGCAGCAGUAGGGAAUCUUCCGCAAUGGGCGAAAGCCUGACGGAGCAACGCCGCGUGAGUGAUGAAGGUCUUCGGAUCGUAAAACUCUGUUAUUAGGGAAGAACAUAUGUGUAAGUAACUGUGCACAUCUUGACGGUACCUAAUCAGAAAGCCACGGCUAACUACGUG